rnacentral:rRNA from 1 species
GUGGGGAAUCUUGCGCAAUGGGCGAAAGCCUGACGCAGCCAUGCCGCGUGGAUGAUGAAGGUCUUAGGAUUGUAAAAUCCUUUCACCGGUGAAGAUAAUGACUGUAGCCGGAGAAGAAGCCCCGGCUAACUUCGUGCCAGCAGCCGCGGUAAUACGAAGGGGGCUAGCGUGGCUCGGAUUUACUGGGCGUAAAGGGCGCGUAGGCGGACAUUUAAGUCAGGGGUGAAAUCCCGGGGCUCAACCUCGGAACUGCCUUUGAUACUGGGUGUCUUGAGUAUGAGAGAGGUGUGUGGAACUCCGAGUGUAGAGGUGAAAUUCGUAGAUAUUCGGAAGAACACCAGUGGCGAAGGCGACACACUGGCUCAUUACUGACGCUGAGGCGCGAAAGCGUGGGGAGCAAACAGGAUUAGAAACCCCAGUAGUCC